UCAGCUCUGUACAUAAAAAAGGCUCCAUAUUUUUUAAUUAAGACCAAUUGAAAAAAGAUUUUUAGCACAAAAGGAGUACAAUGCAAUAAUAAAAAUAAAUUGUCCCCAAAGGUGUACAUAGCCUUUAAAUCAGACUGUAAG